rnacentral:rRNA from 1 species
GAGAAUCUGGCUUCAGGUUCGGGACAACAGUUGGAAACGGCUGCUAAUACCGGAUGUGCCUAAGGGUGAAAGAUUUAUCACCUGAAGAUGAGCUCGCGUCUGAUUAGCUAGUAGGUGUGGUAAGAGCGCACCUAGGCGACGAUCAGUAGCUGGUCUGAGAGGAUGAUCAGCCACACUGGGACUGAGACACGGCCCAGACUCCUACGGGAGGCAGCAGUGGGGAAUUUUCCGCAAUGGGCGAAAGCCUGACGGAGCAAUACCGCGUGAGGGAGGAAGGCUCUUGGGUUGUAAACCUCUUUUCUCAGGGAAGAAUGAUGACGGUACCUGAGGAAUAAGCAUCGGCUAACUCCGUGCCAGCAGCCGCGGUAAUACGGAGGAUGCAAGCGUUAUCCGGAAUGAUUGGGCGUAAAGCGUCCGCAGGUGGCAAUGUAAGUCUGCUGUCAAAGCGUCUGGCUCAACCAGAUAAAGGCAGUGGAAACUACAUAGCUAGAGUAAGGUAGGGGUAGAGGGAAUUCCUGGUGUAGCGGUGAAAUGCGUAGAGAUCAGGAAGAACACCGGUGGCGAAAGCGCUCUGCUGGACCUUAACUGACACUGAGGGACGAAAGCUAGGGGAGCGA